rnacentral:rRNA from 1 species
UAGCUUAGUGCCUUCGGGAACUCUGAGACAGGUGCUGCAUGGCUGUCGUCAGCUCGUGUUGUGAAAUGUUGGGUUAAGUCCCGCAACGAGCGCAACCCUUAUCCUUUGUUGCCAGCGAGUAAUGUCGGGAACUCAAAGGAGACUGCCGGUGAUAAACCGGAGGAAGGUGGGGAUGACGUCAAGUCAUCAUGGCCCUUACGAGUAGGGCUACACACGUGCUACAAUGGCAUAUACAAAGAGAAGCGAACUCGCGAGAGCAAGCGGACCUCAUAAAGUAUGUCGUAGUCCGGAUUGGAGUCUGCAACUCGACUCCAUGAAGUCGGAAUCGCUAGUAAUCGUAGAUCAGAAUGCUACGGUGAAUACGUUCCCGGGCCUU